UUUGAGAGGUUCCUUUUAUCUCUGUAAGUAGAUUAUUGGAAAAUAGCAAAAGAAACAAAAUAAGCAACUUGGUCUAUAGAUGCUAAUUUUUUGACGUAUUUUCCACGGGGUUUUGCCAUCUAAGGAAAGUUCAGACCACUGUUCUCGCUUCCCCUGUGGCUAUUCUGCUCUUUUAAUCAUACAAUCAUACAUAUGGAAAAUGAGCCAGUUCAGAGAUGGAAGCAACUCAAAAGCAUAAUAAUAACUCAAAGGUUAUUAGGGGAACCAACUUAGUUUAAAACUUCAAGUUGAUUUAGUUUGACCGGAAGUCCCCUUAGACUGUCUCAGAUAAUAUUAUAUUAUACAUAAUCUGUUAACAGUAUUGAACAAGAUAAAGUUGCCUUUGGUCUAUUCUUUUCAAGCAUUUUAAAAACUUCUGUUUGGAAGCACUGUACCUAUUAAUAUAAUUGAAGACCUAGCAACUAUCAUUCAAAUUGCCAUGGAAUUAAAUUGUACCAUUGAAUUGUUGAAAUGUGGACGAAUUGAUCAGGUUUGGUGGUGAAGUAAAAAAAUUAAUCCACCAUAAAGCCAAGCGUAACGGCAAUAUUAUGUGGUGAAUACAUUACAGGCAAGAUAGUAACAAAGGGGAAAGUCGGGUCCCCCUUAAAAUAAAUGGCAACCACUCCUACGCUAGCUGCUUUGUUCUUAUAGAUCUCCUUCCCCACCCCUACAUAAUCAUGCCACUAAUCUUAACACACGCUGCCCAACGCAUCAAAAGAAUUGCAGUUUAUGUACUUUCAAGAUAGCAAUUUUAUAACCUUCAAGAAAGCAAUUUUAUAAUGUACUAUCUGCCAAUGUAUUAAAAUGUUAAAUACUUCCAUUUUAAUUCACACAAAUGAACGGAAAAGGCAGAAGCUUAGAAAAUGCUACGUUCAUGCUUUCAUC
rnacentral:lncRNA from 1 species